rfam:Citrus sinensis cultivar Ridge Pineapple sweet orange scaffold00348_contig_13, whole genome shotgun sequence.
UUGGUUCCUGGAGUUCCUCCGAGCACUUCAUUGGGGUCAUUCAGAGAAAAGUCGUCACCCUACUGAAGUGUUUGGGGGAACUCUGGUUGCCAC